rnacentral:rRNA from 1 species
CCUACGGGAGGCAGCAGUGAGGAAUAUUGGUCAAUGGACGGAAGUCUGAACCAGCCAUGCCGCGUGCAGGAUGACGGCUCUAUGAGUUGUAAACUGCUUUUGUACGAGAAUAAUAGUUCUUACGUGUAGGGAUUUGAAUGUAUCGUACGAAUAAGGAUCGGCUAACUCCGUGCCAGCAGCCGCGGUAAUACGGAGGAUGCGAGCGUUAUCCGGAUUUAUUGGGUUUAAAGGGUGCGCAGGCGGAAGAUCAAGUCAGCGGUAAAAUUGAGAGGCUCAACCUCUUCGAGCCGUUGAAACUGGUUUUCUUGAGUGAGCGAGAAGUAUGCGGAAUGCGUGGUGUAGCGGUGAAAUGCAUAGAUAUCACGCAGAACUCCGAUUGCGAAGGCAGCAUACCGGCGCUCAACUGACGCUCAUGCACGAAAGUGUGGGUAUCGAACAGGAUUAGAUACCCUUGUAGUC